rnacentral:lncRNA from 1 species
UUUAUGUUCAGUGUGCAAUACAUAAACAAACAAAACAUACUCUUCGAUUCAUCACAACAUACCAUUGAUUAAUACAUUCAUUCAAGCAUAUAUAGAAGAUUCAGUAGUUUCCUACACUCAAGUCAGCUACAACCAAUAAGUAAAUAAGUUGACAUACAAGACAUGGUCUAUUACAAAAUAUGAUGGCUAGGCUCCUAAGAGACCCAAUUGUUCGAUCACUUGACUACUACAAAAUAUUAAGGAAGAGACCAAAUCUCUUCGAUCACCAAGCUGACAUCAACUUCCAUAUCCACAAAAUGUGUCAAACAUGUUAUGAACAAAACCGACCAUCAAAACAUCUUGUAUCAACUUCUGGAUGUGCCAUUUCGCUGCAAAAGAACUUACAUGUUUGAGCAAUAUUAGAAAUGAGAAUUUGUUCAAAUGUGUGAGUUGCCUUUGAUCCCAAAGAUCUAAAAAUAGAAUAUGUACUACAAAUAAUUUGGUUACAGAAGAUAUCCUUAACAAAGCACCAACAAAAGUCAGGCUAGCAACUAGUUUAUCACAUGCCUUAAUAGAAAAAUUAUGCACUCAUUGACUCGGAUCUGUUCCAAGGCAUAACAAAUAAGGUUCUUAUUGUAACUUUACAGAUUUGUAUUUGAAGGUCCUCAACCAUCAAAUAAUCAGAUAUGCACUUGUACAUGUAGCAGAAGUCAUAUGUGUGAUAGCAGGAAAUGCACUUGGUAAAAAAAGCCAUUUCGAAGACCAUAUGGUUGCACAUGCAUCUUGGUUCAAUAGAUGCACUCUAGUUAGGCAUUGUCUAGUGUGAGUAAUUGCUAGGAUGAUCUUCACACAAUUUAUAAUAAAAUCAUGCCAGCCAUUUACUAUGUGCUCUGAGUUCAUCUAUAGUCCAUUUAAUUACUACAGGCGCUCAGUUCAUCUACAAGCCACUAAACUAUUCACAGACCUAGCAUAAUUAUUGAUAUCCAUUAGUAAGCAAAUCUGAUUUAGAAUUGAAACUCGAAUGAUUCUGUUUAGAAAAUGUAAGAAAGUGACCUAGCAAGUAAAUGGUGUUACAUCUUCCAUCACGACAAGAAAGAACAAAUGGUUAGAGCAUGCACGCUUGUAAUAAAGGACAUCCAGCCAUCAGUUGAGCUAAGAAGUUGCCCUUGAAAUGUUACACACAGCAAAAUCAUGCAUAACAUGGUUAUAUAGACAUUUUUCACCAUUUCAGGGAGGACAACAUAGUUCACGCCGGAAUAAAGAAAAGAAUGGAUAGAAAGCUAGUACCUUGUUCAUUACUUGCUUUUACCCUCAAGGAACUUAUAUAAGUUGAUAGUGUGCCAUCAUGAUUUAUCACAUCUUAGUGCCUGUAUAUAACCAAUGAGUCUUUUUAGUUUCAGAUGUCUAUACUACAAUUAUUCUAAAUUUGUAACAUCAGUAAAGAUUGAACUAUAAGAAAUUGCCCAAUACUAAGAACACCUUCAAAAUUGAUUACUUUACAAUAUUACAAUGCAAAUGCAUUAGAGAUCAGAUGUAACCUACACUUCAAAUGUCAUUAAGAAACACAUGGUACUAAGACAACCUAGCAUAGCAAGUUCAUGCAGAGAGAUUUGUGCAAAUGGUAUUCAGACAGAUAGGUUAUACAAAAGAAGUCACAUAGUGAACAAGGUAAAAUAGGUCGGCAACUUGGCAUAUACCAGCUUCUAUCAAAAAAGAAUGAAAUGUAGUUGUCAAACAUGUCGUUUAUACUGACCAGACUAGUGAAAAUUAUGUGCACCAGUUUAAGGCGAACAUCUAAGAAGUAUAAAAUAAAUGGGACACAUUGCUAGCAGUAAAACAAAAUCACGUAUAUGCAUAGUGCAGGGAUGCCUCAGUUGGAACAAGGCAUGACUGAAGUUUGGUGCACAAAUCAGUAUUUACAAUGAACAAGUGGAUCAAAUGGAUCCUUAAAGAAUAGGACCUCCUACCUAAAAAAAUCAGUUUUUACCUAUAUAUAUAGAAGUCUGCAGGCAAUUUUGAUGUGCAUGUUUAUAGAUGAAUCCUUGUUAUGAAGCUGUAUUUGAUCUGGACACACGGUGAGAAGGAAGAUGUUCCCAUGACAUGGUUUGUGAUGUGAUGCUGUUCGAUGAGCUUGAUGAUGCCAUUCACAGGACUGUUCUUCUUGAUCACCAGCAUUUCAGCUUGCAUCUGUAAGUUCGUGUUUUGUUUCUUUUUGUGAAUUGACGAGAAGCGAAUAUAUGCAGCAUGAUUUUCAGAAUGGUAUUGGUUAAGCUGACCUUGAGAGAAACUGCACAGAAAUGGAGGUAGUGUUCAAAAGUGUGUUCAUCCCCUCGUCCUCGGUCUUCCUGUAUGCCUUGAGCUCCUUCUGAAGCUGGCUUGGAUCAACCUUUCAUAAUCCUAGGGCGUGAGAGUUGAAUCCAUUAGUUGAUAUAUAGAUAGAUAGAAGCACGUCACUAAAAUUCUGAAAGAUAAGUAGCAUCAAUACAAGUAGUGCAAAAAACAUUUAAUUGGUGUACCAUUAAUUACAUUGUUGUGCAAAUUAGUUGGCAGAGUUUAGAGCUUAUACGGGUCAUGAUUCUGUGGGCAGGUUGAUGGACAUGCAGCAGGACAAAAAAAAGAAGGUAACAUUGGCCCCUCCCUCAGCAGUCUCGCGCUUGGAGGAAAGGAGCUCGCCAAUAGCCACAUUAGCAACAGAUCCAGUGACCCUGCUAGAUCAUGAAGGGGUGGAGCAUGGAGACAGUGACGCACAUGGAGGAGGAGAUGAGGAUGAAUGUCAUGCAGUAUAAUUCAAAUAAGACACACCAUGGGCACCUUGGCAGAGAAGAGCAUGAAUCGUUGCCACAUCAUGACUAGGCGAAUUAAAUAAGUAUAACGGGUUUCCUUCGUAGAAAAUUAGAGGUUGAUCACAAUCGCCUACGAUAUACUCCUUUCGUCCCAUAAUGUAAGAUGUUUUUUGACACUAGGGACGGAGGGAGUAUGUUUGUACCAUUCUUUAAUAGUAUCCAUGUACAAAUCAGCCAAGCACCACCCACGAAAGACAUGGCCUUAUCCAGCGGCACAUACGAGUUAUAGGUUGGUCAUGUCAGGGAAAUUCAAAAUAAGCAAACAACAAAGAUAACCCAAACUGUUGUAGGAAAAUAUAUUUGGCUACAACACAAAAAAUGUAUCGUUUUAGUUUCAGAUGUUUGUACUGUAAUUAUUUUAAAUUUGCAACAUGAGCUAAGGUUCAAGUGUAAAUUUUUUUUGAACUACAAGCUAAUGAUAAACAAUAUGUUUCAUUCAAAACUAAGGGUAAUGAUGGAAUAAUUAAGAUGACCAUCUGCACAAAUAGGUCAAGGUCAAUCAAUAAGUUAAGUCUGUUCCUAUCAAUAUAGAGACUGUGCCAUGAAAACAUGAUAAUAAGUUCAGUCUGUUACUAUUCUGACCUCAUGUAGGUGUUGACCAAGCUUCAGAAGCCUCUUGUGGGGUUUUCCCUCUGUAAAUAGAUUCAAUUGAAGACGCUGCAGAGAUGAUAUUAUUCAGUUCAAUGCUAAACCAGGAAGAUCUCAUGGGAAAUAUCACACAAUCAUGAGGAAUCACAUAAAAGAAUACAUACAGGAUGCAACGGUUGGAUUUAAAGGAGGGCAGGACAAGGGGGAAUAGGGAGCCAUCACCGAAGGUGGAAGAGGGACGGCUGGCUGGCACCUCGGGAUGCAGGGGUUUGUGCGGCUCCUUGGCUG